GCUGAGUGAUGCUCGCUGGCUGUCUCCCUCUCUCCCUGCGCUGCCUGGCUGUGCCUCUUUCUGCCCAACGUUGAUGAACCAUUUUAUGCUACAGAGCUGCCAUAGCCAUCAUCCCUGGUUCCGCUGCUUUUCUGUCCUUUCAACAACAGUAGGAAACAUCUGCCACUGCAUCGGUCCUUUAACCGCUGCUGCUAAGCUGAGAAAUGAAGUUUUGCCCCUCCAGCUCCCAGGUGUGCAGCGUUUGGACAGCUUUCGUCUUCUAGAGGACAACGGCGGGGCUCUGAGACUCAACCCGGAGACCCUGAGCCACCAAAGGCUAAAGCAGAAGUUACUGGUGAGUUCUCUGUGUGAAAGGGAGAUAAAGGGCAUGGCCCAUUAGAGGCAGUUGAAAACUGUGGAGGAAUUUGCUUUCAGCAAUUGUCUGGCUUUCGUGUUCCUCUCUC
rnacentral:lncRNA from 1 species